AUCAGCGACCAUAGCGGAGGGGUCACACCUGGACUCAUCUCGAACCCAGAAGUUAAGUCCUCCAGCGAUUCGGUCUGUACUGCAUCACAUGCGGGAAACCCGAGACGUUGCUGGUC
rnacentral:rRNA from 1 species